rnacentral:miRNA from 1 species
UAGGGGGCGGCUUGUGGAGUGU